CCUACGGGAGGCAGCAGUGGGGAAUAUUGGACAAUGGGGGGAACCCUGAUCCAGCCAUGCCGCGUGUGUGAAGAAGGCCCUCGGGUUGUAAAGCACUUUCAGUGAGGAAGAACGCCUGGUGGUUAAUACCCAUCAGGAAAGACAUCACUCACAGAAGAAGCACCGGCUAACUCCGUGCCAGCAGCCGCGGUAAUACGGAGGGUGCGAGCGUUAAUCGGAAUUACUGGGCGUAAAGCGCGCGUAGGUGGCUUGAUAAGCCGGUUGUGAAAGCCCCGGGCUCAACCUGGGAACGGCAUCCGGAACUGUCAUGCUAGAGUGCAGGAGAGGAAGGUAGAAUUCCCGGUGUAGCGGUGAAAUGCGUAGAGAUCGGGAGGAAUACCAGUGGCGAAGGCGGCCUUCUGGACUGACACUGACACUGAGGUGCGAAAGCGUGGGUAGCAAACAGGAUUAGAUACCCCGGUAGUC
rnacentral:rRNA from 1 species